GGAGACGUCUGGAGCUAAGCGGCUGCAAGCGGCAGUGGUGUUGUAGCUUUGGUGGAGAGAAGGUCUCCACCAUGUUUGUCUCCCUGAAGCUGCACUGCUUAUCAGCGCACACAGCUGUAAUGAGUAACUCCAGUGUGGUCGAAUGAGGGAGUGCCCUAAGAUUUUAUGCACAUAAGCAAUCGAGGUUGUUAAGUGUCUUUGCCCACUAGUGGAGGCAGCUUAUGGACCUGAUAUUCAAACUGCAACCUGUCAGGAAUGGCUGGGACUAUUCCCUGCCUGGACACUAGGGGGACAUCCUGACAGGCCUUGUUUGUCUGUAUCAUGUGCCUUUGUUUUUGUUUUGUGUUCGGGUGUGUUAGCCCUGCCCUUUCCAUUUUCCAUUCCUGCCUCUGCACACCUGUUCCUUAUGUCACUAUGAUUGUCCCCCCCUAUUUAUUCCAGUUGUCUUGGUCUUUGUGUUUGUGUCUUUGGUUUGCUUUUAUGUCUCCUUUGUCUUCCCCAGUGCCACAACUGAUCACAACCUUGUGAUCAGUAACGCAACACCUUAAACAUACCAUGUUUUUGAGAUCACUUUGGACAGAUGAGCCCUGCACGAGUUCAUGAGUCUUACAUCUAUUAUUAAUCAGGCAGCAGAGACAGGCAGCAAAACAAAAGCCUGUCCUCUGGGUGCCGUGCUCAGUUGACACACACCUUAAAGAGAGACGUCCAGCUCCCAUGUCGGUCUGUGCGCUCGCUUUGAGGACUGCUUCAAGUGACAGCAGAGAAGUCUUGUCUAAGCACUUUGAUCACUCAAAAGUCUGAAACCAUUUGCAGAGACUGAACUCAUGGUAUGUUUCAGCUGUCAGGAGAAAGAGCCAUCCGAUCAUAAAGAGGAGUACACUCUGUCUCCCAAGCAGGGAUUCUUCAGGAUUACCAUAGAAUAUAGAGAGAGAGCAUUUUCUGUAGAUGUGUGCAUUUUCCAGCCUGCAGUGUGUGCCAUCAGCUGAUAAAAUACAAUAAGCCCAUGUAAUACAGGCAGCUCAUCAGUCACCAAAUACGUAAUUUUCCUCCAGUUGCUUCCAGUUUGGGGUCGCCAGAGCGGAUCACGUGGUCCGCGUAUUAGAUUUGGCACAGGCUUUAUGCCGGAUGCCCUUCCUGAUGCAACCCUCCCAUUUUUAUCUCGGGAUAUCUCGGGACUGGCACUGAGCGUUAACUCUUCAGUGGCUGGGUUAGCGCCCUGCCCAGAAAUCUAACCCAGGCCGCGGUAAUGAGAGCACCGGAUCCUGCCGCCGGACCACCUGGAGGCUAUUCUGUAAAAUCCAUAAGAAGUUCUGGGAAAUGCUAAUUGUAGAUAUUAAAUAAAUUCAUGACACCUUGAUUGAAGUAUCAGCAGAAUCAUGUGCUGCAUUUGAAUCGGUCACUGAAACUGAACAAAAAUAAAGAUGGAUUGACAUUUUAAUAUUUUAAUUAUACUCCUCCAGCUG